rnacentral:rRNA from 1 species
AUUGAACGCUGGCGGCAGGCCUAACACAUGCAAGUCGAACGGUAACAGGAAGAAGCUUGCUUCUUUGCUGACGAGUGGCGGACGGGUGAGUAAUGUCUGGGAAACUGCCUGAUGGAGGGGGAUAACUACUGGAAACGGUAGCUAAUACCGCAUAACGUCGCAAGACCAAAAAGGGGGACCUUCGGGCCUCUUGCCAUCGGAUGUGCCCCGAUGGGAUUAGCUAGUAGGUGGGGUAACGGCUCACCUAGGCGACGAUCCCUAGCUGGUCUGAGAGGAUGACCAGCCACACUGGAACUGAGACACGGUCCAGACUCCUACGGGAGGCAGCAGUGGGGAAUAUUGCACAAUGGGCGCAAGCCUGAUGCAGCCAUGCCGCGUGUAUGAAGAAGGCCUUCGGGUUGUAAAGUACUUUCAGCGGGGAGGAAGGGAGUAAAGUUAAUACCUUUGCUCAUUGACGUUACCCGCAGAAGAAGCACCGGCUAACUCCGUG